UGGAAUUCAGACUUGUGGUCUUAGGAUUACAGUGAAACUGACCAUUCAGAACAGACAGGUCCAGACUGAAGUGGUACCUUCUGCCUCCGCCCUGAUUAUCAAAGCCCUCAAGGAAC